rnacentral:rRNA from 1 species
UACGUAGGGUGCGAGCGUUGUCCGGAAUUAUUGGGCGUAAAGGGCUCGUAGGCGGUUUGUCGCGUCGGGAGUGAAAACCAGGUGCUUAACACCUGGCUUGCUUUCGAUACGGGCAGACUAGAGGUAUGCAGGGGAGAACGGAGUUCCUGGUGUAGCGGUGAAAUGCGCAGAUAUCAGGAGGAACACCGGUGGCGAAGGCGGUUCUCUGGGCAUGACCUGACGCUGAGGAGCGGAAGUGUGGGGAGCGAACAGG